GCAAAAGAGUCAAAAGACUGGUCCACAAAUCUGACUGACUGACGGUGUUUAUAUUCGGUCUAUCGUUCCUUUAUUUUUUUUUUAUUUCUUCUGUGGCGUUAGAGGGGCCACUUUAGACCGCGUCUGGCUUUGGCUUUACGCGUUGAUUUUCAGCCGGUGAUAUUAACGGCGUUCUUUAGAGUUGACCAUGUUCUUUUCUUUUUAGUACUCCAAAAUCAAUCUAUUUAUAAGAAGCCAUUCGGUACAUUAAUUUGUACAGAAUAAAUUGAAAAUGUAAAUUUAAAUAUUUGCAAAAUUUAACUUAAUCAACGAGGAGAAACUAUUUUGAAGAGAUUUUAUAGAGAAAAAGAGUAAGCGAAAGAGAAAGAGAGGGAGUCGCACUCAUGUGAACUGCGACUGUCGAGCUCUUUGAUCCAUGAGUAGAGUGAGCUUGACGUUAUUUUCUUCUAUAAUUUUAUUUUUUGUAGUUUUAUAUUGUGUUCCAUUUGUUUCUAUUUGAUUUCGCUGAGUUUUGAUGAUGGUGUUUGAUUGUCGAUCCAGAAAAGGGGACCGUUGAUAUACUCGACGGUAGAACUCGAGUAAUUUCGUUGGCUGUCCAUGAAUAUACGAUAUUGAGAGCGCUAUGGGCCGAUAUUUUUCUAGUCGCCGUCGACGGCGGCCAUUGAAGCUUAUGAUGAUGGUUAGUGCUGAUUUGUGCAGUCGAAAUCUCCUAAAUUUGAUUUGAACGGUGCCUAUUUGGUAGUUGAUACGGUCGCGGGUGCUGAACAGUUGCUCUUCGCUCCACUUCAGAUCUGAUCGGCUUUCAGUGAGCAGUGAACGGUUGGUUGUGGGCCGCAAUUUUUUUUAGCUUUGGACUUCUCUUUUAGACCUUUUUUUUUUAUUUUUAAUAUCUUUGAUAAUUUUUUUUACUAUUAUCCAAUGGGCUUUUUAAUGCAAAUUUAUUUACAUGAUAAAAAAGAAAAAACUAAGGCAAAUGAUGGAUGUAAAUCAAAUCAUUUUUAUUCAAUUAUAUUUGCUUGAUUGGCUUUUUAA